rnacentral:rRNA from 1 species
AUUGAACGCUGGCGGCAUGCCUUACACAUGCAAGUCGAACGGUAACGGGUCCUUCGGGAUGCCGACGAGUGGCGAACGGGUGAGUAAUAUAUCGGAACGUGCCCAGUAGUGGGGGAUAACUGCUCGAAAGAGCAGCUAAUACCGCAUACGACCUGAGGGCGAAAGGGGGGGAUCGCAAGACCUCUCGCUAUUGGAGCGGCCGAUAUCAGAUUAGCUAGUUGGUGGGGUAAAGGCCUACCAAGGCAACGAUCUGUAGUUGGUCUGAGAGGACGACCAGCCACACUGGGACUGAGACACGGCCCAGACUCCUACGGGAGGCAGCAGUGGGGAAUUUUGGACAAUGGGCGCAAGCCUGAUCCAGCGAUGCCGCGUGCAGGAAGAAGGCCUUCGGGUUGUAAACUGCUUUUGUCAGGGAAGAAAUCUUCUGGGCUAAUACCCCGGGAGGAUGACGGUACCUGAAGAAUAAGCACCGGCUAACUACGUGCCAGCAGCCGCGGUAA